rnacentral:lncRNA from 1 species
CAAGGAAAUAUUGUUAAUGAUAUGGAUCCACACAAAAAUAAUUUACAAAUAUUUUUUAUUUUCCUCCCCACUAGCACCACAGUUCUAAAUGUUUAUAACUUUGGAUGGUAUUUAAGUAUAUCUGAAUAAUUUGGUAGUAAAACAUUUCUUAGGAUAUUUCGAUGUCAUGGAAUCAAUUUUGCCUAGACAAAAGUUUUCACAAUUUCAUUUGCACAUGUGGAUACGACGGUCUUACGUACUUGUUUUGAAAAAAAAAAAGCUAGUGGCAACGACCCGUGCUCUUGUAGGGCUUUUCUCUUCACUACCUAAUGCUUGUAAUGUGGUUAUAUUUAAUCCAGGAUUGGAUCAGCAAGGUGGCAUUUCUACCCAGAGUCAAGCUACAAAUCAAGCUUACUAUGUCCAUAUGGUUCUAGCUUACUAUGUACAAAUAAGCUUAAGCCAUGUUUAGAUCCUACCAAAAAAUUUUCACCCUAUUACAUCAAACGUUUGAACACCUGUAUUUUUUUAUCAAAUAUAGGCUUAAAAAAUAACUAAUUGCACAUAUUUGCGACUAAUUUGCGAGACAAAUCUUUUAAGCCUAAUUGAUCCAUGAUUUGACAAUGUGGUGCUACAGUAAAUAUUUGCUAAUGAUAGAUUAAUUAGGCUUAAUAAAUUCAUCUCGCAGUUUACUAACGGAUUCUGUAAUUAGUUUUUUUAUUAAUACCCGAACACCCUAUACGAUAGUAUAUAUAAUACCCGAUGUGGCACGCCAAAACUUUACACCCCUGGAUCUAAACACCACCUUCAUAUGUGAGCCCUUGAACUUUUUCCUUCAAGCCGAACACUCCCUUUACAAAAUCUUCCAGCCUUUCACUGUUUCACACUCAUCUUCGGAACUUCGGCUUCACUCUGUGACAAUGGAUCAUGUUCUGAAUAGAACCUGCCUGAUAAUCGUCAAUAAUCACAGGGUAUUCGGAUGAAAUUUUGUGUAGGCUCGUGACAUGUUGGAGAUUCAGCCGCCUGCCAAAUAAGGAUCGUCAAAAUGUAGUUUAAUUAAGAGCAAAUUGGAAAUAUGAAUUUACUGUUUCAGCCUAUCCUGGUUUGGUCCAUCAGCUACACAACUAGAUGGCCACAAGUUUCCGCUCACCUGCUGCCAACUGCGACCAGCUGACGCAACAAAUUUCUAAUUGGCGAUCUUAUCAAUAAGCCAAAGCAGAUACAUCCCGGUACAUGGUGCCAAUAAUAAUAUCUCAUUUUUCAUUGAAGUCCUAUGUUUUGAUUGAACAAGAAUUAUUAAAGGUGACCAAAUUCAUUUUCUCAAGUUAAUAUUAAUUUAGAAAAGAAUGUGUUACUACCUAAUAAAAAUACGUGUUUUUAUGUUAGCAGGGUAAAAAGCGACUAAAUUAGAUGUCACUGUAGCCUAGAGGAGCCGGCAUCCGGCAUGUCAUUGUUUUUGAAGGAGUUGCUGAUACAAGCCAAAGCAAGCGUUGUUCAUGUGCUCAGGCAGCCAAAGCAGCGCCAGCCACAGAAUCGGCGUGUUUGGUUCAAGGAAAAAUCUGUAGUGAGUUAAAACCGAGAUGCAGUAAAUGUCCAGCUCGUUUGGUCUAGUCAACACACAGCUGGAGUUUUUCAUGUACAUGCACGCUAAUAAACUACUCCCUCCAUCUAUUUUUAUUUUUGAUAGUCAUAUUUUCAAAUCUAAAAAAAUUAUUUUUGAUAGACAUAUUUCAAUCCAACAACCUAUCAUCUUAAUGACUUUCUCAGAUUUAAUGCGUGGCUCUCCAUUCUUCCACACAAGAUUGGCUAAAUGGGUAUCGAGAAAUAUAAAUAUUAAUGAAUCACUUGUUUACGAGGAAUGACUAGUAGCAUGUUUAAAUAGAUGAUAAGUAGAAUUACGUAUCCUUGGCCUGUGUGUCAAGAUGAAAUAUGACUAUCAAAAGUAGAUGGAGGAGUAGGACAUUAUUUAUUUUGAAAUUUUAAUCACUCAUCUUUUUUCUAAAAAAAUAUAAUUACUAAAAAAAUGAGCGAGUCAUGUCCAUGUUUUAGGAUAGUUAAAUUAAUAUAUUAUACCCACCUCCAGGCCAGGCUUAAUUUGCGUUUCAAGUUCCCGUGAAUGAAAAGAGAAGAGAGUGAAGCAUCAGCAUUCCGGCUUACCCAAUAUCCGUGUGCAUUGCUAGGGUGGCCAUCACCAUCGUGCGGCAGCCACCACCACCACACACUCAUUGUCGUCUCCGCCAUGUGCCUCCCUCUCUAUGUCCACAACCCCUGAUGCAUCGACAUCGUUCCUCAGCCGUGUGCUUCGGGUUAGUGGAUGCAUGCGGCAGCCACUUCUCUGCCCAUCACCGAUGAGGCACGAGAACUAUUGCUGGAUACCUAUGCACCAGACCUAGUACUAGGGUGGAUCUGAUGCCCACAAGCACCAUACCACCCAUAGAUACUAGACCUGAUAUCUGUAACUGAUAGAUAUAGUUAGUAGAAUGAUAUAUGUGGGUAUCAAUUUUGAUGCCCAAUAUUAGGUAUGCUACCUUGUACUAGCCACACGGCUUAGCUGCUCCACCUCACCAUCGACCUCGCCGCCUCACCGGAGCCUUACUUUGUUGACCGAUCAGGGACACGUUGCCAUGCCUAAGCUGCCCAGCCAUGCUUGAGCUUCAUAGCACUGGCGGCGUCGUAUAGAAGAAGGGAACGAGAAUGAGAGAAGAGAGAGAGAGAAGGUCAUAUGUGUGGUAUAGAU